AGAGACUUCUCCGGCCAUCUGAAAACACUGCCAUUAGAGAAGGUUCUGCCUGGCUGUUUUCUUCUCUUCCCGGGAAAUAUGGCCAGAUUAUUGCUGACCUAUCUGGAGGCAACAGGAACAUGGAGAGAAAGAGUCAUCACAAAUUUUAAAAUGAGUUUUCUGUGAGAUAUUUUUCUCGCUUCCAAAAUUACAGUUUGCUGUUUACCAAAGCCAAUCCGUAGUGAUGGGAGAUCCACUGAAGUCAUCUCAUGAUGUGUGUUGUCGGGCUAUUUAAAGGCUGCUGUUUCACUUCCAAACUUCACUCCCUUCUGACGUCUUCAGUGCUGUUCACUUGGCAACCUUGGCUACUCUUCAGCAGAUAAUUUGUACUCUACAUAAGCAUUUAGAAGAACCCAGAGUUAAACCAAGGAUAAGAGUCAUCGGUAACAUUUAUAGUUACUGAACUCCUCACUAUGUGUCACAAAGUGGGUCAGAGGGUGCAUCUUUCAGGAGAAAAAGAACAUUCUUUUAGUGCUAUUUCUACUUCCACAUUGAUACGACAAUGAUUCCUACAGCUAAAUUAAGGUUUGACCUCAUGUGUCAAAUGAUUUUUGUUUAGUCAAUAGAUUUUUUUCUAAAUGUUAUCCUCUCCAAAAAAAUCAGAAAUUUAGCAUUUAAGUUAUGCAUGAUCACAAGUACAUAUAUAUAUACACACACAUAUAUAUAUGCAAGAACAGCCUUUUCUUGACAAUAAUUCAAUGCGAGAAAAAUUUAGAUAAAUGUAUUGAAUGUACAAAAGUGUAAUAAAACCCCCUUUAGUUUAAUAGAUAAAAGAGCAUUGUGGGGAGUUUUUUCUUUGCAGGGUUGGAGUAUGUGCUCUGCUCAUGGAAACCAGCUGUCAUGCCACUUCCCAGCACUCGGAGGGAACAGAAACUUGUUUCUUCUCUACUGUUAAAGCAAAAGGGUGUGCCCAAGGCAAAGAUUAGAGUGGCUGUGGAUCUGCAGGUGGUUUUACGUAUUUGCGGUGAGGUCAAAGAAACAUCUUUUUUUGCACUUCUUCUUUUCUCCAAAUUGGGCAUUGCCUGAAAUGGACGCAUUCAGCAGCACUGUGGGAUGAGAUAUGUACAAGGCAUCAUUUCCCUCUAAGGCAAAUACCUUCACUGCUGGCAAACCUUCAGAAUUUGCAAGCUCAGCCAGCACCUUUGACCCGGCCACACAGCUGACAGCACAGUUGGCAGUUGGUAGCUUCCAUUUAUCCUAGGUCAGCUCCCGAGGCAUCGGCAUAAAAUGAAAUAAAGAUUUGAGCAGUCACUUCAGAAAUGAAAAUGGGAAUGCCCAAUAGUUUGCUUCAGUUUGCUCAGGCUGAGAACCAUUUAUUAAGCUGGUAAAAUGGGAAAGUCAUACAUGAGAGUACCUGCUCAGGAGAAAGAAAUAGAUUGAUCAGACACAUUAUCUAAAGAUCCAGAAGAGAAAUCCACUGAUUUCUAACAGUCAACCCACUGAUGGCUUGAGAUGUAGUUGAGACUACCACACAUUUCAGUAGGCAGAUAUUGUCACCUUCAUAUCCUCAGUGCCUAGCACUGUGCCUGGUAGUUUGUGCUUAGUCAGUGAAUGUUUGCGCAAUUAAUGAGUAAAGCCCAUAUGUGUAUAUGUUUAUAAUAAUUAUUUUUUCUAGUUCAUGUAACUAACGAAUGAAAUUCCCAAGUCAUUGUUCUAUGAGGAACAGGAUGAGAAAUAAGGAACUAAUAUUUUUCUUCCUACUGUAUGCUAGACAUACCAAAUUUGCAUAGUGAGAAAUGGUCAAAACAAGAUUGAAAGGUAGGUAUGUUUCAUGCUAAAGUCCAUGGGUUUUUCACUUUACCUAAAACUUAAAUGUCAUCAGUUGCAAAGCAUUUGGAGGAAACACUGUGUAUAAGGAGAUAUUCAUCAAGAAUUCUAUUUUAAAUUAUGAUUAUCUUUCUAUAUGACAGAAAAAUACCACUUAAAAUAUAAUGGAUUGAAAAGAUUCUUUUGAAGAGAUACAAAAUAUACAAAAAUAUAUACUAAUUUGGAAUAAACUU
rnacentral:lncRNA from 1 species